rnacentral:rRNA from 1 species
AANUUGCAGUGGAAUAACGUGGAAACAUGUUAGCCUUCGGGCCGCUGUGAAGGUGCUGCAUGGUUGUCGUCAGCUCGUGCCGUGAGGUGUCGGCUUAAGUGCCAUAACGAGCGCAACCCUCAUCGAUAGUUACUAACAGGUUAAGCUGAGGACUCUAUCGAGACUGCCGACGUAAGUCGUGAGGAAGGUGGGGAUGACGUCAAAUCAGCACGGCCCUUACGUCCAGGGCUACACACGUGUUACAAUGGGGGGUACAAAGGGCAGCUACCUGGCGACAGGAUGCUAAUCUCAAAAACCUCUCUCAGUUCGGAUUGGAGUCUGCAACCCGACUCCAUGAAGCUGGAUUCGCUAGUAAUCGCGCAUCAGCCACGGCGCGGUGAAUACGUUCCCGGGCCUUGUACACACCGCCCGUCAAGCCAUGGGAGCCGGGGGGACCUGAAGUAUGCAACCGUAAGGAGCGUCCUAGGGUAAAACUGGUGACUGGGGCU